UACGUAGGGUGCGAGCGUUUGUCCGGAAUUAUUGGGCGUAAAGGGCUCGUAGGCGGUUUGUCGCGUCGGGAGUGAAAACAUCCAGCUUAACUGGGUGCUUGCUUUCGAUACGGGCAGACUAGAGGUAUGCAGGGGAGAACGGAAUUCCUGGUGUAGCGGUGAAAUGCGCAGAUAUCAGGAGGAACACCGGUGGCGAAGGCGGUUCUCUGGGCAUGAUCUGACGCUGAGGAGCGAAAGUGUGGGGAGCGAACAGG
rnacentral:rRNA from 1 species